AAACGAAACGACAAACGUUAAACAAAAUUUGUAUGGAAAAAAUUCAAGUUUCAAUCCAUUUUCCCAACAUCUUUCAUACUAAUUUCAUACGUCUCAAAACGUUUCGAUUUAUAAAAUGAUCUCAUAAAUACAUAAUGAAAAAUAUAUGGGCCUCAUUUUGUAAAACGCAACGACAAACGUUAAACAAAUAUUGGGUCUCAUUUUGUAAAACGAAGCGUUCAGAAACGUUAGCAAUUUGUAUGAAGAAUACUGGGAAAAGGGUUUGAAACUUGAAUAUUUUCCGUACAUAAUUUGUUUUACGUUUGUCGUUUCGUUUUAUAAAAUGAGACCCUAAGCUAUUAUUUAUGCCCUUAAAAUGUCGUAAUAAGCUUUAAAUAAGUAAAAUUUUAGUGUUUUCUACUAUUCAAAUCAUGUUGAAAAAAGUUUCAAGGGUUUUUGAUUUUUCAGUUGUGGUUGUUAUUCUCGUGGUAUUGCUCAUAUGGAAAUUAUUAAAUUUUUAAAAUGUUUACUAUUAGGGCGUCAUUUUAUAAAAUGGAUCGUUCUGAAACUUAAGCAAUUUGUAUGUAGAAUACCGGGAAAAAGGUUUGAAACAUGCAUUUUUUCCAUUCAAAAUUUGUUUAACGUUUGUCGUUGCGUCGUAUAAAAUAAGGUCCUUACAAUACAAUGGGAUUAGUCUCAGGGCCUCAUUUUAUAAAACGAAACGAUUGGAAGCGUAAAGGUAGGGUCAUACAUGGCAAAUAUUUACUCAAAAAAGCGAAACCCCUUUUUAGGCACACAUUUGUUUGACAUUGUUUAAGGGUCUAAUUUUAUGAAACGAAACGACAAACGUUAACAAAAUUUUGUAUGGAAAAUAUUCAAGUUUCAAACCAUUUUCCCAGUAUUAUUCAUACAAAUUGAUUACGCUUCCAAAAGUUUCGUUUUAUAAAAUGAGGCCCUAAAUAUGUUUAUCGUUUCGUUUUAAGAAAUUAGACUCUAAAUAUAUUUUUAUAUUACUCCGCAUAUAUUUUAUUUAUUUUUUAAUAAGCAUUUUAACUGCUGACAGCUAACUAAAACGAUUGAAUAUAUUUUAAAAAGCUGAAACCCCAAAAGUUAAUAAACACCACGAACCGAAUUUAGUGCGCAGUAACAAUUUUCUUUAGCCUUGUCUUCGUUUUAACGAAUCUUUAAUUGUUAUCAUUGUUUAUCAUUAACGACAAUAAACACAUUAGAUUAAAUAAUAAUACAAAAUUUAAAAACAAAUUAUGACGUUGCAUUUGAAUAUUAUUACGUUUUAGUUUGUAAGUUUGUAAAUAGAAAAUAUUUGUAAGAAAACAUGACUUGAAAAGCUUUCAGAUUUUUCUUAAAAAUAUUGUUUAUUGAGAAAAAUAGUUUAGAAAUAAAUUAAUUGAUUGAUUAUCUUACAAUCAUUCAGUUUAAAACAGCUUUUGCACACGAAACAGCGCUAACAUACAGGGUUCGUGUGCUUUUAUUAGCAUUAACAUUAGCAUUGGUGUAGUGGGCCUCUUCCAGCGUAGUUGCAUGACUAAUGCACACCUCACUACUAAGCUUUAAAUUUUAAGAAUUAAUUUUCUUAAGUAGUAGUGAGCUGGAAAAUGUUUAACACUAAACAUAUCUAUAAAAUCACAAACAUUCGUAGCAAAAUCAUCAGUCAGUACUAAACGUUGCUUAAACAACAACAUCUGAAGUUUAAUUCUCUUGUAACAAAACUUAAAAAAACAAACUAUCAAACAAAAUGCCUUGCCCCUGCGGAUCUGGUUGCAAAUGCACUUCUCAAACCCAAACUGGCAAAUGCAGUUGCGGCACCUCAUGCAAAUGCGGAUCCUGCAAGUAAAGUGAUAAGCUGCUGCCCCAGAUUGUAUUUAAUUAGGAUUUUAGUUUAACAACUCUCUGUACAUAUCAAAUGCAUUAAAUUAAUUUAAGAAAAAUCUAAUUAUUUGGUUUUAACAUUUUUUGUUCAAAAAAAUUAAAUAAGUAAAAAAACAUUAAAAACUAA